GACGAACGCUGGCGGCGUGCCUAAUACAUGCAAGUCGAGCGAAGUUUUUCUGGUGCUUGCACUAGAAAAACUUAGCGGCGAACGGGUGAGUAACACGUAAAGAACCUGCCUCAUAGACUGGGACAACUAUUGGAAACGAUAGCUAAUACCGGAUAACAGCAUUAACUGCAUGGUUGAUGUUUAAAAGUUGGUUUUGCUAACACUAUGAGAUGGCUUUGCGGUGCAUUAGCUAGUUGGUGGGGUAAAGGCCUACCAAGGCGACGAUGCAUAGCCGACCUGAGAGGGUGAUCGGCCACACUGGGACUGAGACACGGCCCAGACUCCUACGGGAGGCAGCAGUAGGGAAUCUUCCGCAAUGGGCGAAAGCCUGACGGAGCAACGCCGCGUGAGUGAAGAAGGAUUUCGGUUCGUAAAGCUCUGUUGUUAGGGAAGAAUGAUUGUGUAGUAACUAUACACAGUAGAGACGGUACCUAACCAGAAAGCCACGGCUAACUACGUGCCAGCAGCCGCGGUAAUACGUAGGUGGCAAGCGUUGUCCGGAAUUAUUGGGCGUAAAGCGCGCGCAGGUGGUUUAUAAGUCUGAUGUGAAAGCCCACGGCUCAACCGUGGAGGGUCAUUGGAAACUGUUAAACUUGAGUGCAGGAGAGAAAAGUGGAAUUCCUAGUGUAGCGGUGAAAUGCGCAGAUAUCAGGAGGAACACCGAUGGCGAAGGCAGGUCUCUGGGCAGUAACUGACGCUGAGGAGCGAAAGCAUGGGUAGCGAACAGGAUUAGAUACCCUGGUAGUCCAUGCCGUAAACGGUGGGCGCUAGGUGUAGGGGGCUUCCACGUCUUCUGUGCCGUAGCUAACGCAUUAAGCGCCCCGCCUGGGGAGUACGGCCGCAAGGCUAAAACUCAAAGGAAUUGACGGGGGCCCGCACAAGCGGCGGAGCAUGUGGAUUAAUUCGAUGCAACGCGAAGAACCUUACCUGGGCUUGACAUAUACAAGACAGGCGUAGAGAUACGUCCUCCCUUGUGGUUUGUAUACAGGUGGUGCAUGGUUGUCGUCAGCUCGUGUCGUGAGAUGUUGGGUUAAGUCCCGCAACGAGCGCAACCCUUGUCUUAUGUUGCCAGCAUUUGGUUGGGGACUCAUGAGAGACUGCCGGGGUCAACUCGGAGGAAGGUGGGGAUGACGUCAAAUCAUCAUGCCCCUUAUGUCCAGGGCUUCACACAUGCUACAAUGGUCGGUACAACGCGCAGCGACACUGUGAGGUGGAGCGAAUCGCUGAAAGCCGGCCUUAGUUCGGAUUGGGGUCUGCAACUCGACCCCAUGAAGUCGGAGUCGCUAGUAAUCGCAGAUCAGCAACGCUGCGGUGAAUACGUUCCCGGGCCU
rnacentral:rRNA from 1 species